GGGUUGUGAGGUUAAGCGACUAAGCGUACACGGUGGAUGCCCUGGCAGUCAGAGGCGAUGAAGGACGUGCUAAUCUGCGAAAAGCGUCGGUAAGGUGAUAUGAACCGUUACAGCCGGCGAUGUCCGAAUGGGGAAACCCAGUGCAAUUCGUUGCACUAUCGUUAACUGAAUACAUAGGUUAACGAGGCGAACCGGGGGAACUGAAACAUCUAAGUACCCCGAGGAAAAGAAAUCAACCGAGAUUCCCCCAGUAGCGGCGAGCGAACGGGGAGCAGCCCAGAGUCUGAAUCAGCUUGUGUGUUAGUGGAACGGUCUGGAAAGUCCGACGGUACAGGGUGAUAGUCCCGUACACCAAAAUGCACAGGCUGUGAACUCGAAGAGUAGGGCGGGACACGUGGUAUCCUGUCUGAAUAUGGGGGGACCAUCCUCCAAGGCUAAAUACUCCUGACUGACCGAUAGUGAACCAGUACCGUGAGGGAAAGGCGAAAAGAACCCCGGCGAGGGGAGUGAAAAAGAACCUGAAACCGUGUACGUACAAGCAGUGGGAGCACCUUCGGGUGUGACUGCGUACCUUUUGUAUAAUGGGUCAGCGACUUAUAUUCUGUAGCAAGGUUAACCGUAUAGGGGAGCCGCAGGGAAACCGAGUCUUAACUGGGCGUUAAGUUGCAGGGUAUAGACCCGAAACCCGGUGAUCUAGCCAUGGGCAGGUUGAAGGUUGGGUAACACUAACUGGAGGACCGAACCGACUAAUGUUGAAAAAUUAGCGGAUGACUUGUGGCUGGGGGUGAAAGGCCAAUCAAACCGGGAGAUAGCUGGUUCUCCCCGAAAGCUAUUUAGGUAGCGCCUCGUGAACUCAUCUUCGGGGGUAGAGCACUGUUUCGGCUAGGGGGUCAUCCCGACUUACCAACCCGAUGCAAACUACGAAUACCGAAGAAUGUUAUCACGGGAGACACACGGCGGGUGCUAACGUCCGUCGUGAAGAGGGAAACAACCCAGACCGCCAGCUAAGGUCCCAAAGUCAUGGUUAAGUGGGAAACGAUGUGGGAAGGCACAGACAGCCAGGAUGUUGGCUUAGAAGCAGCCAUCAUUUAAAGAAAGCGUAAUAGCUCACUGGUCGAGUCGGCCUGCGCGGAAGAUGUAACGGGGCUAAACCAUGCACCGAAGCUGCGGCAGCGACACUAUGUGUUGUUGGGUAGGGGAGCGUUCUGUAAGCCUGCGAAGGUGUGCUGUGAGGCAUGCUGGAGGUAUCAGAAGUGCGAAUGCUGACAUAAGUAACGAUAAAGCGGGUGAAAAGCCCGCUCGCCGGAAGACCAAGGGUUCCUGUCCAACGUUAAUCGGGGCAGGGUGAGUCGACCCCUAAGGCGAGGCCGAAAGGCGUAGUCGAUGGGAAACAGGUUAAUAUUCCUGUACUUGGUGUUACUGCGAAGGGGGGACGGAGAAGGCUAUGUUAGCCGGGCGACGGUUGUCCCGGUUUAAGCAUGUAGGCUGGUUGUCCAGGCAAAUCCGGAUAAUCAAGGCUGAGGUGUGAUGACGAGGCACUACGGUGCUGAAGUAACAAAUGCCCUGCUUCCAGGAAAAGCCUCUAAGCAUCAGGUAACAUCAAAUCGUACCCCAAACCGACACAGGUGGUCAGGUAGAGAAUACCAAGGCGCUUGAGAGAACUCGGGUGAAGGAACUAGGCAAAAUGGUGCCGUAACUUCGGGAGAAGGCACGCUGGUGUGUAGGUGAAGCCCCUGCGGGUGGAGCUGAGACCAGUCGAAGAUACCAGCUGGCUGCAACUGUUUAUUAAAAACACAGCACUGUGCAAACACGAAAGUGGACGUAUACGGUGUGACGCCUGCCCGGUGCCGGAAGGUUAAUUGAUGGGGUUAUCCGUAAGGAGAAGCUCUUGAUCGAAGCCCCGGUAAACGGCGGCCGUAACUAUAACGGUCCUAAGGUAGCGAAAUUCCUUGUCGGGUAAGUUCCGACCUGCACGAAUGGCGUAAUGAUGGCCAGGCUGUCUCCACCCGAGACUCAGUGAAAUUGAACUCGCUGUGAAGAUGCAGUGUACCCGCGGCAAGACGGAAAGACCCCGUGAACCUUUACUAUAGCUUGACACUGAACAUUGAGCCUUGAUGUGUAGGAUAGGUGGGAGGCUUUGAAGCGUGGACGCCAGUCUGCGUGGAGCCAACCUUGAAAUACCACCCUUUAAUGUUUGAUGUUCUAACGUUGGCCCCUGACCGGGGUUGCGGACAGUGUCUGGUGGGUAGUUUGACUGGGGCGGUCUCCUCCCAAAGCGUAACGGAGGAGCACGAAGGUUAGCUAAUCCUGGUCGGACAUCAGGAGGUUAGUGCAAUGGCAUAAGCUAGCUUGACUGCGAGCGUGACGGCGCGAGCAGGUGCGAAAGCAGGUCAUAGUGAUCCGGUGGUUCUGAAUGGAAGGGCCAUCGCUCAACGGAUAAAAGGUACUCCGGGGAUAACAGGCUGAUACCGCCCAAGAGUUCAUAUCGACGGCGGUGUUUGGCACCUCGAUGUCGGCUCAUCACAUCCUGGGGCUGAAGUAGGUCCCAAGGGUAUGGCUGUUCGCCAUUUAAAGUGGUACGCGAGCUGGGUUUAGAACGUCGUGAGACAGUUCGGUCCCUAUCUGCCGUGGGCGCUGGAGAAUUGAGGGGGGCUGCUCCUAGUACGAGAGGACCGGAGUGGACGCAUCACUGGUGUUCGGGUUGUCAUGCCAAUGGCACUGCCCGGUAGCUAAAUGCGGAAGAGAUAAGUGCUGAAAGCAUCUAAGCACGAAACUUGCCCCGAGAUGAGUUCUCCCUGAGACUUUAAGUCUCCUGAAGGAACGUUGAAGACGACGACGUUGAUAGGCCGGGUGUGUAAGCGCAGCGAUGCGUUGAGCUAACCGGUACUAAUGAACCGUGAGGCUUAACCUUACAACGCCGAAGGUGUUU
rnacentral:rRNA from 1 species